rnacentral:rRNA from 1 species
UACGUAGGGCGCAAGCGUUGUCCGGAAUUAUUGGGCGUAAAGAGCUCGUAGGCGGUUUGUUGCGUCGGCUGUGAAAUCCCGAGGCUCAACCUCGGGUCUGCAGUCGAUACGAGCAAACUAGAGUGUUGCAGGGGAGACUGGAAUUCCUGGUGUAGCGGUGGAAUGCGCAGAUAUCAGGAGGAACACCAAUGGCGAAGGCAGAUCUCUGGGCCGUAACUGACGCUGGAGGUGCGAAAGCGUGGGGAGCAAACAGG